rnacentral:tRNA from 1 species
GCAGUUGUAGUUCAGUGGUAGGAUUCUUGCCUUCCAUGCGGGAGACCCGGGUUCAAUUCCUGGCCAAUGUA